rnacentral:lncRNA from 10 species
GGGGACUAUGGGGGCACCAUCCGUGUGAAUUACAUCCACAAAUUUGGCAUCGCUGGGGUCCAAUCGGACUAAUUCAGGUGUGCCCUGAAAGCAAGGUUCUGCUGGGCUUGUGUGUAUCCAGUUCGGGAGCCACCUUUCCAGUCCACACAGAUACAGUUCACACUUUCCACCUUGAACAGACCUUGCACACAUUGGCCAGCCAGUUUUCUUCUCCCUUGUCUAUGAAUCCAUGAAUAAUAAAGCGAGUUUUUCUAUUUGUUUUGAAAUUGGAGCCACUGAUGCUUGAUGAAUCUGCGGCAACUUCCUGUUUAGACAGAAAAGUGUUUCAUGUCAGUUUCCUAUAGUAGCCAAUAGAACCAUUUGUACAUGGAGAGGGGCAGUAAGUAGAAGACUGCUAGGAUUCAGGAUCCUUGUGAAUAAUGAUUCCUCCAUAGCAACCACAGUAUUCACUAUCAUCAUCAUGUUGCCAUUUCCCAGUCAUCACAACAUGUUUGCCAUUGUUCAACUUGGGAUAAUAUGUCUGUUAUAAUCUUGGUGGUAAUGAUCUUUUCUUCAUACAAUGGAAGGCUUUGUGUGUGUGUGUGUGCGUGUGUGUAUUUUUAUAUGUCUUUAUCUAUGUAGAGAUACAUAUAUAUAAUAGGAGAUUACAUAAAUAUAUAAUAUUGGGAAUGUUUAUAUACUUUAUAUGUAUAAAUAUAGCCCUACAUUUACAAUAUUUAUUAAAUGUUAUAGAGGAAGGACAAGAAUAAUAUGAAGUUAAUGAAUCUUUUAUAAACAAUUUACAUUAAGUAAUACCUAAGCUCAGUGCCCUGAAUAUCUACAAAGAUGCAAAUUUCACGGCUGAUUUUUUUCUCUUAAGAACUUG